AACGGACGAGAAGCUUGCUUCUCUGAUGUUAGCGGCGGACGGGUGAGUAACACGUGGAUAACCUACCUAUAAGACUGGGAUAACUUCGGGAAACCGGAGCUAAUACCGGAUAAUAUUUUGAACCGCAUGGUUCAAAAGUGAAAGACGGUCUUGCUGUCACUUAUAGAUGGAUCCGCGCUGCAUUAGCUAGUUGGUAAGGUAACGGCUUACCAAGGCAACGAUGCAUAGCCGACCUGAGAGGGCGAUCGGCCACACUGGAACUGAGACACGGUCCAGACUCCUACGGGAGGCAGCAGUAGGGAAUCUUCCGCAAUGGGCGCAAGCCUGACGGAGCAACGCCGCGUGAGUGAUGAAGGUCUUCGGAUCGUAAAACUCUGUUAUUAGGGAAGAACAUAUGUGUAAGUAACUGUGCACAUCUUGACGGUACCUAAUCAGAAAGCCACGGCUAACUACGUGCCAGCAGCCGCGGUAAUACGUAGGUGGCAAGCGUUAUCCGGAAUUAUUGGGCGUAAAGCGCGCGUAGGCGGUUUUUUAAGUCUGAUGUGAAAGCCCACGGCUCAACCGUGGAGGGUCAUUGGAAACUGGAAAACUUGAGUGCAGAAGAGGAAAGUGGAAUUCCAUGUGUAGCGGUGAAAUGCGCAGAGAUAUGGAGGAACACCAGUGGCGAAGGCGACUUUCUGGUCUGUAACUGACGCUGAUGUGCGAAAGCGUGGGGAUCAAACAGGAUUAGAUACCCUGGUAGUCCACGCCGUAAACGAUGAGUGCUAAGUGUUAGGGGGUUUCCGCCCCUUAGUGCUGCAGCUAACGCAUUAAGCACUCCG
rnacentral:rRNA from 1 species